CACUUGUGCCGUUGUUGCUGCCAUUAUUCGAUGAGCACAACGGCUAUGCAGACAGCCCCGGAUUUCGAGCAGCUUGCCACAAGCAGUUCCCAUUCGCAAACUGCCGAGAGCUGCCUGCUAGUUUCUAGAAGGAACGCUGGCGUGCAGGUUCACCUCAGUGCAUACAUCUGCCUCUCAGUGGCAUCACAGACCACGUUCCAUUGAGCAGUCCGGUGUGGAACCUGAGGUGCUGAACUGUGCCUUAUUUCCCCUCCGCUGCCUGUCAAGUUGCAACCGCGUCAGUCCCUCAUUCCGUUGCAACCACGUCAGUCCCUCAUUCCAAGCAGAUGGAGCUGGACGAAGAAGAGGUGCCAGCCGCUGAAUGUGACAGGAUCCAGUGGGAAUCCUCUGACAUAAGAUUUCAUUUAAGCUGGCAAGAUCUAGCUGCGGCAUCAUUCAACUUGGUCCUUGGGAGGGAACCAAUGGCCUGGCCACUAAAGCGAGCGGUGCACUUGAUCCACACAACCUUGAAUGCUGAGAAUUGGCAUUCAUUUGCAUUGAGCGGCCGCAGCAAGCAAGGUCUUAGCAUCAGAAGCCUUGUUGCCCCCGUACAUCGUUACGCCGGGGCUGGAGGUGAAGUGGCUGUUCUAUUCACACUCUCAGACCUGGUGUUCAUCACUUGAAUGUGACAUGCAGUGUCCACAGUGUUCUACAUCUGCUUCGGUUGAACAUGCGUCUUGUCUGCUUUGAACAUGCCUGCCCUGGGACAAAAUAAGAUUGUCCUUGAAAAGUCACUGUACACUUUUGUGUUACAAAAUGACUGAAACAAGAGCUAUAAGUAAUGGCUCACAGAUGACACAUUUUAUACGUUGCACCUCAAGUACAGUAGAACCUCGUUAAUUCUAAGUCUCUCGGACCACGAAAAACCUUCCAAUUAACCAGGUUUUCGAAUGAUAAGAAAUGGAUGAAAAAUGUGAAAUAAACAUGUGGAACGUCACUGCAUCAACACUGCACCUUUGUUUCACCUGCAAAACAUUCAUUUGAAGUAAUCGUCAAUGCCCGUCUGCUUGGAACAGUAAUUUGCAGCACCAUAGGUCAUGUCCUCCAGUUGACUAACGAUGUGCAGCUUUUCACUGUUGCCACCACCACACUCGACAGAACUCCUAGGAAUGUUCAGUGACUCAACCACUGUAGCUAAAGGUAUCUCUUGUCCCCCACGUCAGACAAUUUUAUUCGACUGAGAGUUCCAGAUGCCGGACAUAGAGGGGUUCGUCCACGACAUUUGCUGGCCAACCCGUUCUAACGUACUCGAGAACUUUGCCAAGUGUGUCAUCUCGUGCAGCUUGUUUUGACACAUCUCGCGGUGUGAGCGGUGUGCAUUUGAAAACAGACAGAAAUUCAGCCGUUUCUGGUUUGGAAGAACAAAGAUUAGGCAGUCUUGACAGAGCAUCAGCCACCUCAAUUUCAAUUCCCUUGUUGUACUUCAGAGUGAACUGGUAAGAAGACAUAAUUAAAGACCACCUUUGCAGUCUGGCCGCUGCUAGCGA
rnacentral:lncRNA from 1 species